GGACAAAUAGCAUAACGGCAUUGCGUAGGAUUGCAACUUGCAAUCUAUCCUGAGGUUCUGGGUUCGAAUCCCAGUUUGUCCU
rfam:Wallemia sebi CBS 633.66 unplaced genomic scaffold WALSEscaffold_30, whole genome shotgun sequence.